rnacentral:rRNA from 1 species
ACACAGUUUUGGUCCUAAACUUGCCAUUGUCUUUAAUCAGGAUUAUACAUGCAAGCCUCCACACACCAGUGAGAAUGCCCACACACCCCCAAACAGAAAGCCGGAGCAGGUAUCAGGAUCAACAAAUCAAGCCAACGACACCUUGCUAAAGCCACCCCCCCACGGGACCUCAGCAGUAAUUAACAUUAAAACAUAAGCGAAAGCUUGACUUGGCCAUGAUUAAAAUAGUCGGUAAAUUUCGUGCCAGCCACCGCGGUUAUACGAGAGACUAAAAACAAUGACUAUCGGCGUAAAGCGUGACAAGAGAUUUUAAGUCAUAAACCUUAAAGAAGAACCACUACAAAGCCGUAAAACGCCCCCACAAGUGGGAACCACAAAACCUUUAAACAAAAGACUACUUACUUCACGAAAGCUAAGAAACAAACUGGGAUUAGAUACCCCACUAUCCUAGCCCUAAACUUAGACAGUACAAACACAAUACUGUCCGCCAGAGAACUACAAGCGAAAAACUCAAAACUCUAAGGACUUGGCGGUGCUCCACAUCAACCUAGAGGAGCCUGUCCUAUAAUCGAUACCCCACGUUAAACCUUACCAUCUUUAGCCCCUCAACCUAUAUACCGCCGUCGUCAGCCUACCUUAUGAAAGAAGUACAGUAAGCAAAGCAGUCAAAAACUAACACGUCAGGUCAAGGUGUAGUACAUAAGAUGGAAGAGAUGGGCUACAUUUUCUAAACCAGAAUACACGAACGGGGUAAUGAAAUAAACCCCUAAAGGUGGAUUUAGCAGUAAGAUGUAUAAGAAACACCAUCUUAAAUUCGCCCUGGAGCGCGCACACACCGC